GGGAACUCCAGUAUUUGAAAUUCCUGAAGAAAACUCUUCUAAAUGGUGAUAUCUCCUGACUGCUCGGCAGCUGGACCUUGAUCCCAACACCAUUAAUUGGCAGGGCAGGGCAGAGCAGAGCACAAGGGCACAAAGCCAGAUAGAUGGACGUGGCAGUGUCUGCUUGAGUGGCAUCAAUGAGAUGAGACUGAAAUGACCUCUGAUGGGGACUCGCCUCAGAUGGAAUAAUACGGCUCGAGAAAGGAAUGGAUCAAGUCCAGGUACAAGUCACCUCCUUUUCCUUUGCUCCAUUGUCAUCAACUCUCCUCUCAAAUAAUUUGAUUCGUCUGUGUACUUUGUUCAUUGCUUGUCUGUAACUACAUGGAUCUUAUCUUUGUUGGUGGGGUUCAGACAAUUGCACUACUGUAGAAUUCACUUUUGAUAUCUAUGUUAACUCUCCGUUUCAA